AUUGAACGCUGGCGGUAGGCCUAACACAUGCAAGUCGAGCGGCAGCACAGUAAUAGCUCCUUCUUUCGGGGGCGGAGGGGCGGGCGGUGGCUGAAAACAUCGGAAUUUGUGUUUGCUUAGGGCAGAACGUGGGGACACUUACGGUAAUAGUGCUGAGGACCUACGUGGGGAAGCAGGGGAUCUUCCGAUAUCACGCGAGUCAAUGACGCGAUGUCGGAUUAGCUAGUUGGCGGGGUAAAGGCCCACCAAGGCGACGAUCCGUAGCUGGUCUGAGAGGAUGAUCAGCCACACUGGAACUGAGACACGGUCCAGACUCCUACGGGAGGCAGCAGUGGGGAAUAUUGGACAAUGGGCGCAAGCCUGAUCCAGCCAUACCGCGUGGGUGAAGAAGGCCUUCGGGUUGUAAAGCCCUUUUGUUGGGAAAGAAGAGCAGCAAGUUAAUACCCCGCUGUUCUGACGGUACCCAAAGAAUAAGCACCGGCUAACUUCGUG
rnacentral:rRNA from 1 species